ACGUGUUGCAAAAAAAUGUAGAAAAGAUCAAUAUUUUCAAUAGUGAGUGUAAAAACUAAAGAAGAGGUUUUCGUCAUUUUAAAAGCAAUAGUCACCGAGCAGCAUAUUAAUUGUUGGUUUGGAUAAAUUCAAGCCAAUAAUCAAUAUUAACACGAAAAGACACUACAUGAUUUUCAUAAUGGCAUUGUCAUUGAUAUGUUGAAACCACAUUUCUAUGUAGCUCAUAAAAUAGGGAUAUCUUCAAGUAUUUUAAAAAUUGCUUUGGAUAAGUCCAACUCAGUACUCCAAAGACACUAAAUAUGAAUUAUUACACAACAGUUGUCACUGACUUGUCUAGACCACAUUUUCACAUAGUUGAUAAAUUAGGAAUAUUUUGCGAACAACAUUUUGCCAACAUGAAAAGACACUAAAUACUAAAUAGGCCAUUUUUCAAAGCAGAUGUCACCGACAUGUCGAGACCACAUUUGCACAUGGUUGAUAAAUUAGGCAUAUUUUGCAAACAUAUUAAUAGUUGGUCUGGAUAAAUCGACGCCAACAAGAAAACAGACUAAAUAGGCCAUUUUUCAAAGCAGAUGUCACUGACAUGUCGAGACCACAUUUGCACAUGGUCGAUAAAUUAGGAAUAUUUUGCAAACAUAUUAAUAGUUGGUUUGGAUAAAUCGACGCCAACAUGAAAAGUCACUAAAUAAGUCAUUUUUCAAAGCAGAUGUCACCGACAUGUCGAGACCACUUUUGCACAUGGUUGAUAAAUUAGGAAUAUUUUGCAAACAUAUUAAUAGUUGGUUUGGAUAAAUUGACGCCAACAUGAAGAGACACUUAAAAUAGGCCAUUUUUCAAAGCAGAUGUCACCGACAUGUCGAGACCACAUUUGCACAUGGUUGAUAAAUUAGGAAUAUUUUGCAAACAUAUUAAUAGUUGACUUGGAUAAAUCGACGCCAACAUGAAAAGACACUAAAUUGG